rnacentral:lncRNA from 1 species
GAAAUACUCAGAAAAUGCUGGUUGGUAGAAGUCAUGUCCUUGCAAUGCAACAAUCACAUACUACAAGUAUCUAUCCUGUGCUUACUUUUGUACAGAGCUCAGUCGUUUCAAGCAUUGCUGAUCCUCCAGAACGAGGUAUUGAAACUGCAUUUCUUCACAAGAACAACAAGGAAGAAAAAAAUCAGACAACUGAUGUAAUCCCACAGACAAAUCAAUCUUCUUUAGAAGGCAACAAGUGCAAUCUUUGUCUUCACAUGUUACAGAAGAGAGCUGAAUCAAGUUCCAGACGAGAAAUGGAAUGUGUAGGAAAAGGAGGUCUGCUAGCAAACAAGCAUUCUUCCAACCUAAUGGUAUGAGAUCUGUUUCCAUGCUCACUUUUUUCUUUUUAAUUUAGAUUAUCUUAUUCAUAUUUGAGAUCACACAACAUUUUUCUCUUCAGUCUUUGCACAGCAUAAUGGCUCUGCUUUUGAGAUACUACAGCAUAUCUUAGCAUUGCUGAAUUGGUUUCCAAAGAAGAAAUUCCUCAAGGAAAGACUCUCAAACAUUUUAUGAAACUAGUGAUGAAGCUGGCUUCUCUCAGGGAAGACUUAACUAUGUUUACUAGCCUGCCAAAAUGCAAAAACCUACAAACAAUUGCUUGCCUACAAAAAUAUUUAAUUUUAAGGCAUUGAGAGAAAAUAAUUAAUCUAUGCUAAUCCUUCUCAAAGUAACAUGAAAACCUAUCUUGAAUUCCAACUUCACAGACAAAAAAUUGUUCAUAUUUUGUCCAGUCUGCUCCACAAUAAGAAUUGUAAAUAGAUCAAUCAAAUUGCAGAGUUGAUGGCAACCAAAAGCAAUAUAGAAGUGACGUAGAAAUGAUGCCACUGUAUCAUGUUUGUUUAUAUUACUAUGUACAUAUCAAUCAUAAUAAUUUUGUUUUGCCUUCUGGUUGCAACAGAGAUUCCCUUCACCUGAGGAAAAAUACGCUGCUGAAGGUCUUAUAUCCCAUCGUCAGGGCACAUUAACUCAAAAAAUUAAUGCUGAUGAAGAAAGUAUGAAAGGGUAACUGUAUUGCGUAUUUUGGCUAGUCAUAGAUGUGGUGUUCUACAGCUAAGUGAAGAGAUACAUGCAUGUACACUGAUACGUCUCUAUACUGGACUCUGCAUGAAACACUGAAUAACAUCUUUAAUACAUAUAAAAUGAAAGGGUGAUCUGAUUUCAGGUUUAUCACCAGUUUCAAAUUUAAUCACACAAGUUAUGCGACUUGCCAGACCGCCAGAGAAAUGACAAAACUCCCAUCAAUUUUAUUAGAGAGAGAAUUAUUUCAUAUUACAAAGUAGGCCAUCUCAAGGGACCAGUACAGGGUUUAUGGUGCUUACAUGGCAGAGAAUUUUCAUAUCGUGAUAAGAGAAGAGGCUUUGUCUUUGUUCACUAUUCAGCAAUACAAGUCAGCAUUCCAAAUUGGGAUGCAAAGUCUUCAGUAAUAAGAAAUAUUUAAAAUUAUCACUGUCAUCAACUAAUCUGGUAGGCCUGCAAGGAGACCAUAUUGACUUACCUGCAUGUAUUUCAAGUAUAGUGGUCAAAGUGUACAGUUUCAUUUACAGAGAUGUCAGUGUGAUAAAAGAAUUCCACAUGGGUUAUUUUGGAGUUUGAAAUUUUGGCAAAUUAAAUCUCUGUCCAAAGCUAGAUCAUGUAAUACAUGCAGUGUAGAACACAGUAAUAUUCACCUAAAUAUGCUCUCAGAUUAUAUUACAGAGUAGAUGUUAAUAUUUACCUAGUAAAACUCCCCUAGCUACCUUUUUUUUCCCCCCUCUGUCCUUUAAGGGAAGUUAGCUCAAUCUUCUGAUCAUUGUUUUCAUGAAUGGGUGGAAAAUUUUCCAAAUAAAUCUGUUGAUACUGUAUGCCUUAAGCCGAAA